rnacentral:tRNA from 1 species
CCCCAGGUGGCGGAAUCGGUAGACGCACUGGACUUAAAAUCCAGCGGGCUUUGUCGCCCGUGCCGGUUCAAGUCCGGCCCUGGGGA